AUGUUCAGGACAUUAAUGUGUUUGCAGCACCAGUGUGCCCUUUACAGGACAUUAAUGUGUUUGCAGCACCAGUGUGCCCUGUACAGGACAUUAAUGUGUCUGCAGCACCAGUGUGCCCUGUACAGGACAUUAAUGUGUUUGCAGGAUCAGUGUGCCUUGUACAGGACAUUAAUGUGUCUGCAGCACCAGUGUGCCCUGUACAGGACAUUAAUGUGUUUGCAGCACCAGUGUGCCUUUUACAGGACAUUAAUGUGUCUGCAGCACCUGUGUGCCCUUUACAGGACAUUAAUGUGUUUGCAGCACCAGUGUGCCUUUUACAGGACAUUAAUGUGUUUGCAGCACCAGUGUGCCUUUUACAGGACAUUAAUGUGUUUGCAGCACCAGUGUGCCCUUUACAGGACAUUAAUGUGUUUGCAGCACCAGUGUGCCCUUUACAGGACAUUAAUGUGUUUGCAGCACCAGUGUGCCCUUUACAGGACAUUAAUGUGUUUGCAGCACCUGUGUGCCCUGUACAGGACAUUAAUGUGUUUGCAGCACCAGUGUGCCUUUUACAGGACAUUAAUGUGUUUGCAGCACCUGUGUGCCCUGUACAGGACAUUAAUGUGUUUGCAGCACCAGUGUGCCUUUUACAGGACAUUAAUGUGUUUGCAGCACCAGUGUGCCUUUUACAGGACAUUAAUGUGUUUGCAGCACCAGUGUGCCCUGUACAGGACAUUAAUGUGUCUGCAGCAUCAGUGUGUCCUGUACAGGACAUUAAUGUGUCUGCAGCAUCAGUGUGCCCUGUACAGGACAUUAAUGUGUUUGCAGCACCAGUGUGCCCUGUACAGGACAUUAAUGUGUUUGCAGCACCAGUGUGCCCUUUACAGGACAUUAAUGUGUUUGCAGCAUCAGUGUGUCCUGUACAGGACAUUAAUGUGUUUGCAGCACCAGUGUGCCCUGUACAGGACAUUAAUGUGUUUGCAGCACCAGUGUGCCCUUUACAGGACAUUAAUGUGUUUGCAGCACCAGUGUGCCUUGUACAGGACAUUAAUGUGUCUGCAGCACCAGUGUGCCCUGUACAGGACAUUAAUGUGUUUGCAGCACCAGUGUGCCCUGUACAGGACAUUAAUGUGUCUGCAGCACCAGUGUGUCCUGUACAGGACAUUAAUGUGUCUGCAGCACCAGUGUGCCCUGUACAGGACAUUAAUGUAA
ensembl:lncRNA